GUGAAUAUAGCGCAUCUCUUCGGAGAGCGUGACCUCCACUUUCAACUCUGUGCAUUUUUUGGCGAGGGAACGAGACGAAGCGACGCAAGUUGCAGACUCUCGCCUCUUGCGGCUCAUUUUAAACACUGGUUAAAGUAUGUAACGAAAUAUCGAAACAAAAA
rnacentral:misc_RNA from 1 species